UUUGUUGAUUUCAACAAACCGGAGCACAUCUGCCAGCCAGUCUCUGUCUCCACAAAGGCCACACUACAACCUGCUCAGCCUUUUGUCACAGAUGUCCAGAGCUGCGUUGAUAAGGCAACUUCCAUUGAGUAACAUUAAGUUACUAUUUUUAUUCUGCCUUAAGCGUUAAUAUGUAAGGUCCAAUGACACAAACCAAUGAUGGAUGAUGAGCAUAGAAAAACAUGUGCUGUGUGAAGGAACAUCCUUUGUGCUUGUGCUCGCUGGAGUCGUCUCCGCCUCCUACAGUUUCAACCUUCAGUAUCAAAAUGAUGCACAGUGGAAUUCAUUCAGAGAACCGGCGUUGACAUUUAUUCUUGAGGGUGGCGAAAAAGCAAGUCAUGAGAAUGAGAAAGAGAGCGGGAAGAUGGUCAAAAAGAAGGCGACAUCAGUGAAAUCGGCAUGUCUGCACGCUCAUCAAGAAGCUCAGCGACUUCAAGUAGGACUUUGUCUGAUCUUUCACACACACACGCAACCACCCACUAUCUCACCCAGACACUCAUUCAAACAUGCAUUCUCUUAUUUACUCACUCGCUCGCUCACUCACUCAGUGAAACCCCAGUGUCUUUUCUUAUUCAGACCGUUAGAACUCAGGUUUUUUACAUUGUUCCGAGAAAAAAAACAAAAAACAGUUGCACAUUUGUUCUGUGUUCACUUUACUGUAAUUCACUCUUGCAAACUAGACUGCUGCUGAUCUGCAGAAGGUUAAAAAACAGUUUGAUGUUCCUUUCUCACAAAAACGAAAUUGUCACAGUGAGUUACCCGAUGUUGUAUGCGCUCAUUUAAAUUAAAAAAUUGUCAAUCUGUUGAAAGAAGGAAACAAAGAAAAGAAAAGUACAGUAUUCAGCUCUAGUUUUGCUUGUGUUGCA